rnacentral:rRNA from 1 species
UACGUAGGGUGCAAGCGUUGUCCGGAAUUAUUUGGGCGUAAAGAGCUCGUAGGCGGUUUGUUGCGUCGGCUGUGAAAUCCCGAGGCUCAACCUCGGGUCUGCAGUCGAUACGAGCAAACUAGAGUGUUUGCAGGGGAGACUGGGAAUUCCUGGUGAUAGCGGUGAAAUACGCAGAUAUCAGGAGGAACACCGGUGGCGAAGGCGGGUCUCUGGGCAACAACUGACGCUGGAGGAGCGAAAGCGUGGGGAGCGAACAGG